CUUUAUAUACCGACUUAAAAAUUGCUGACUGUCGAUAAAUCAGGAAAAAUUCACCGAGCAAAAGCGCGUGUCGAACAGCUGUUUGUCUGUUUACCAAUUUUUUUUCCCUCACUCCAGGGACGUCAAAAAUGUGUCUUAGAUUUAUUGGUUCGAAUUUGUUUUUUGCACUGAAAAAUUGGCCGAAAAUCUCCCGUGAUCAAGGAAUUCGUUCGAGAUUCUACAAUAAUCAGUACUUAAUAAAUAACAAAGUACUUCGCUCUAAAUUACCCGGAAAAUUGCUUUACUCGAGUGACAGCCCAGUCAAAUGUUGGCAAUGCAACUAUCCCUUCAAAUCUGAGUUUUUUUGCCAAAAGUGCAAAGCCCUUCAAGAGCCACCUGAAAAAUUGAAUUAUUUCCAAAUAAUCGGUAUCCAGGAGAGCUAUGAUCUCGACAGCAAAGAUUUGCAUAAAAAAUAUAGAGAUUUGCAGAAUAUAUUGCAUCCAGACAGGUUCAACAACAAAACUGAGAAAGAAAAACACAUAUCGGAGAAUAUAUCCUCCCUGAUCAACAAAGCUUAUAACACGCUCUCACAUCCUCUCAGCCGAGGGUUGUACAUCUUGAGGCUGAAAAAUAUGACAAUACCGGAAGGUACUACGAAUCUCAAUCCUGAAUUCCUCAUGGAAAUUAUGGAACUCAACGAAAAGGUUGAAGAGGCCUCCAGGGACAAGGAAAAAAUAGUGCAAUUGAUGGACCAAAAUAAUGCUGUAUUGGACAAGCUCUCACAGUACUUUUCUUUUCUAUUCAAUUAGUUAACUGGACCUCUUAAUUUAUCCAAUGGAAAAUUUGACAAGGAGUAUACACCUAAGAGGGAUAUAGAGAAGUUUCUGCCGCCUUCAAGCUGGGUGAUUUUGAGAGGGGAAAAAUGAUACUGGUGGAAAUGAAAUAUUACACUAGUGUACAGAGUAGGUUGAAGAAGCUCAAACAAGAAUUAGGCAUAGUAGAUGAUUGAGGGCAACAAAUUUGUACAAAUGUUUACUCUAUUAGAUUUUAAUUCGAAUGUACAUAUACAAACACCUUUGAAA